rnacentral:rRNA from 1 species
AGUGAACGCUGGCGGUAGGCCUAACACAUGCAAGUCGAACGGCAGCACAGUAAGAGCUUGCUCUUACGGGUGGCGAGUGGCGGACGGGUGAGGAAUACAUCGGAAUCUACUUUUUCGUGGGGGAUAACGUAGGGAAACUUACGCUAAUACCGCAUACGACCUACGGGUGAAAGCAGGGGAUCUUCGGACCUUGCGCGAUUGAAUGAGCCGAUGUCGGAUUAGCUAGUUGGCGGGGUAAAGGCCCACCAAGGCGACGAUCCGUAGCUGGUCUGAGAGGAUGACCAGCCAAACUGGAACGGAAACAGGGUCCAGAACCCUACGGGGGGAAGGAGGGGGGAAUAUGGGAAAAUGGGGGAAACCCGGACCCAGCCAUACCGGGGGGGGGAAGAAGGCCUUCGGGUUGGAAAGCCCUUUUGUGGGGAAAAAAAAGCAGCAGGUUAAAACCCCGCUGUUCUGACGGUACCAAAAGAAUAAGCACCGGCUAACUUCGU